AAGGUGUAUAUCGCCCUUGCUGCGGUUAAAAAGCUCGUAGUUGGAUCUGCGCCUUCGGACUCGGUCCGCCCAACGGGUGUGAACUGGGAUCCAAGGCUUAUACUGCUGGUUUUCCCUUGAUGCUCUUUACUGGGUGUCUUGGGUGGCUAGCGAGUUUACUUUGAAAAAAUUAGAGUGCUUAACACAGGCUAACGCCUGAAUACUCGUGCAUGGAAUAAUAGAAUAAGACCACGGUUCUAUUUUAUUGGUUUUCGGAACUGUGAUAAUGGUUAAGACGGACGACUG
rnacentral:rRNA from 1 species